CCUCUGCCCAUUACACAGAGCACCGGCUGCGCACAUGCGGCAGCUCCAGCGUGGAUAGGGAGAAGGGUCUUGUAGCUACAACUCUGCAUUCUGACCAAGACUAUUACUGUAGUGAUGGGUAGUGAAAAGUAAAGCCAACUGGAAUGAUUUUCUGUGAAGAGAAAGGGAAGUGCUAUGCUGAAAUUAAGAAUCAAACACAAGAAAUUUCUCUCCUAAUCAACAGUUGACACUCACAUGACCCUAGAAGAACUCCAGCAUGUCAGAAAUUGUACUGGUGCAGCAGAAGAUGUGACCUCUGUCUGGAAAACCUUGCCUUGUACAUCUAAAAGUGUAGAGAAAAUAUAGACACUGACAAGUGAAGAGAGUAAGAAGACACUGAGUUAGUAAUGGUCAGUUUGGCAAGCUGUGGUCUCAGAAAGGCAGCAUUUUUCUUAUAGCAUCACAGAAGAAGGAUCUGAAGGGCAUGAUCUUUGUGGAUGUUUACAGGGAGGCAGAAGGGAGAAAGCAAGGUGCUUCUUUGAAACAUAGGCUGUUGUCAUGAAACAGAUGACCCCCCAACAAUGAAUAGGUUUUUUGGGAAGCAGACUUAGAAAGCUUUGUUAAGGGGUGAGUGAAUGUGAGAAUAAAUGGCAUAUGUUUCAAUAUAAAAGGAGUGGCAGUGGAAGAUAUAAGGGAAGAGGCAUCUAGUCAAAGUGAGAGGUAGAUGAGGAAGUACAUGUGAUUUUUGGUGGUUUUGACAAGUGGAGCAAGGAAGCAUUUAUGAAGGCCAGAAAUCAAUACAAAAGCAGAUAUUACUAAAAAUUAGACCUUUUCAAAGAUGCUUAAAUUGACUAUUUUCUGUAACUAUUUCUUGAUUGUCUUUGAUAACCCUUUUCUUCAGACUGCGUAUUUCAGAUCACAUUUUCACUUCUGAUCCCUGUCUUUUUGUUUGUUUGUUUGUUUUUUCCCCAAGAUUAACAGAUUAAUAUUUCCUGGUGCUAUUGUAUAGAUAUAAUGGUAAAGGAGAAAGGUCCACAGGUGGAUAAAACUAGUUAAAUUUCAAACAAUUAAUACAGUAGCAUCUUUACAGAAUUGUUUUGGUUGAAAAUGAGCUCUUUAGAUAACUUAGUUCAACUCCUCUGCUCAAACAAGGUCAACUAGAGCAGGUUGCUUAGGACUAUGUUGAGUCAGUUUUAAAAUAUAUCUGAUGAUGAAAGCUUUUUGGCCACAUGGCAGGGUCCACAGCUGCAUCUCAUAAACUUACACUGGACUUGUUAUUCAGGUCUGGAAGUUCAGAGUUGUCUGCUACCCAUGUCCCUCCCACUGUAAUUCUAGAAGCUUAGCAGUGAAAUAAAUUAAGGACCUCUCCUUUCCACUAAGGUGCUUACCUCUCCUCAGUCUCUUUUCAUAUCAGCUAUGACUCCUGGGUUCAGUGUGGACACAAAAAGCUAGGUACAGCUCAAAGCAAGACCCAGUUUAGGAGUUCAGGAGGAGUUGCCAAACUUAAGAUUUUAAGAUCUUAGAAUUUUGGCUCUUUUGGUUAUCUAAAGCCUAAGUCAAAAUUCCAAGAAGUUUUCUGCAUGUUAUUUCAUUUCCUCAGGGCUAGAGAUAUUUCUGGAUACAAAAAAUUUUUUAUGUGGUGCCAGAUAGAAGCUAAUACAAAAUCAUUGCUUCAACAGAGAAACAUGCUUGUGGAUGAGCCGUACAAAUUCCUGAGCUGCGGUGAUAUUGUCCUGAAUAUGAGCAUGAAAAGUAUAUUUCCUGCCUAUACUAUUAUUAGUAGGCUUCUUCACUAUAUUGCUAUAGUCAUGGAUGGCAGUGCUAUGCCCUGUGCCAUUCACCAUGCCAAUCACACAGACAGAGCGUAUAUGCCUGUGGCAAUCACACAGACAGAGCAUAUAUGCCUGUGGCAUUUAUGUGCCUCAUAAGUCACUCUGAAUCAUCAUCAUUGCACUUCCUCUGCCCCUCCUUUGCUUAAGGCCCUUGGCUUUUUCUCAGCUCCAAUGUGAUGCUUCCCAAUGUGAAAGGUUUCAUACCUUUGACAUGGGUUAAUAUUGAAAAUACUGAUUUAUAUAUGUCACAUAUUUAUGUCACCUAGAUGCGUGUAUUGAAAGUCAAUGUGAUUUAGUCUCCUAACUCAAUUCCUUUUGAAAUGUUACCUUUGGUGAUCCCAUGUAUUUGAUGAAAAAUGCAGUUGUAGAUAUAAUUUUGAGUUAGUUGAUAACCUAGGUGAGCAAAUGUUAUGAUUUUAAGCAGCUGUAGAGAAAUUAGCAGAUGUGGUUUUAUAGCCAUAUACAUCUGAUCAUUGUCUCCCAGCAUAAACACGCAUUGAAACCUUAUUCUUGUCUAUUACAAACAAGAGCAAACAGAAGUGCAUAUAAACUGGAAUACCAUGAAAGCACGGUCAAGGAGAAUGUCCUACAUUAAAGUUUUUUUGCAAAAUACAAAAUUGGCUUGCAAAUAUUCCAGAUCUAUGUCCUUUCUAAGAAUGAUCUCUGCUAUUUCCCAUUCAGUAACGAGAUCUGUUCAAUCUACACUUGGUUUUUAUUUUCACAUUUUUUCCAGAUAUCUGCGUGACUGAAUUUUCCUGGUUAAAAAAAUAUGUAUAGUUAAUGCUGUCAUCUUCACUGCCAUGCUUUAAUUGGGAAAUUCAGCUUCUGUACUGAAGCAGCUAUGUAAGAGUGAGCUGACAAAAGUGUUUUUUCUAGAGCUUCCAAACAGAUCUGUGCAAGGAGUAACUGUGCAGAUAAUUAAAGGAUGCUUUUUGUAGAAAGCGUUUUCCAAGUUAUUCUGCAUUUAAAUACCUGAGGUCAGCUUUGCUUUUUAGGAGAUUUGAACUGUCUCUUCCCUUCCGAAGAACAAUUUAAUCAUGUGCUCAAUCCUUUUAAAGUGACUAGGUGGAAUUUUAAGUGUCAGAAUACUGAAAAAGUAAUUCAGCUAUGGAGCUGGUAUCAUUCUGUUGGUUUGAGUUCAACCCUACAUGAGAGCAUUAAUUAGCUUCAGUUCAUGAAGCAAGCUCACAAUGACUGAAUUUCUUGAUUGAUAUUGUCCUUUAAAGUGAUUUCCAUUCCUUUUUUUUAACAGUGUCCAAGUGCUUUGUGGAAUUGAACUAAUCUAGUAAGAUAUUAAUUAGCCUUUUCCCCUCAAAUUUAUGUAGGAUACACAGAAUUUUGAAAAUUCUUAGAUCCCUUUCCUCAGACAAGCUUUGGAUUUUUGUGCAGUAGUUAACACCAGCUAGGGAAGGAAAAAAAAAAAAAAAAGAAAAAAAAAGGAUAAA